rnacentral:rRNA from 1 species
GUAGGUGGCAAGCGUUGUCCGGAAUUAUUGGGCGUAAAGCGCGCGCAGGCGGUUCUUCAAGUCUGAUGUGAAAGCCCACGGCUCAACCGUGGAGGGUCAUUGGAAACUGGAGAACUUGAGUACAGAAGAGGAAAGCGGAAUUCCACGUGUAGCGGUGAAAUGCGUAGAGAUGUGGAGGAACACCAGUGGCGAAGGCGGCUUUCUGGUCUGUAACUGACGCUGAGGCGCGAAAGCGUGGGGGAGCAAACAGGAUUAGAUACCCUGGCAGUCCACGCCGUAAACCGAUGAGUGCUAAGUGUUAGGGGGUUUCCGCCCCCCCCUUAGUGCUGCAGCUAACGCAUUAAGCGCUCCGCCCUGGGGAGUACGGCCGCAAGGCUG